rnacentral:rRNA from 1 species
UGAGGAAUAUUGGUCAAUGGAGGAAACUCUGAACCAGCCAUGCCGCGUGAAGGAUGAAGGUCCUCUGGAUUGUAAACUUCUUUUAUAGAAGAAGAAACCCCAUUAUUCUUAAUGGGUUGACGGUACUCUAUGAAUAAGCACCGGCUAACUCCGUGCCAGCAGCCGCGGUAAUACGGAGGGUGCAAGCGUUAUCCGGAUUCACUGGGUUUAAAGGGUGCGUAGGUGGGCUUGUAAGUCAGUGGUGAAAUCUCCGAGCUUAACUUGGAAACUGCCAUUGAUACUAUUAGUCUUGAAUUCUGUGGAGGUAAGCGGAAUAUAUCAUGUAGCGGUGAAAUGCUUAGAUAUGAUAUAGAACACCGAUAGCGAAGGCAGCUUACUACGCAGACAUUGACACUGAGGCACGAAAGCGUGGGGAUCAAACA